CGGCUACCCGACGCCGACGCCGAAGCCGCCGGCCAAGGGGCCCAAGCCGGAGAAGCCCCCGACCAAGGGCCACGGCCACAAGCCGGAGAAGCCGCCCAAGGAGCACAAGCCGACUCCGCCCACCUACACCCCGAGCCCCAAGCCCACGCCGCCGCCGGCUACUCCCAAGCCGACGCCGCCCACCUACACGCCGAGCCCUAAGCCCAAGUCGCCGGUCUACCCUCCCCCGCCGAAAGCCAGUACUCCUCCGACCUACACCCCGAGCCCCAAGCCUCCGGCGACCAAGCCGCCUACCUACCCGACCCCCAAGCCACCAGCUACCAAGCCUCCGACACCUCCUGUGUACACUCCGAGCCCCAAACCACCGGUUACAAAGCCUCCUACACCCAAGCCGACCCCGCCGGUGUACACGCCGAACCCCAAGCCACCGGUUACCAAGCCUCCGACACACACGCCGAGCCCCAAGCCUCCGACAUCCAAGCCGACUCCGCCGGUGUACACACCGAGCCCCAAGCCACCGAAGCCGUCCCCGCCGACGUACACGCCGACCCCGAAGCCACCGGCUACCAAGCCGCCCACCUCAACUCCGACGCACCCUAAGCCGACGCCGCACACGCCUAUCCCCAAGCCCACGCCGCCAACCUACAAGCCGGCACCGAAGCCGACGCCGCCGGCGCCCACCCCGCCGAC
rnacentral:lncRNA from 1 species